AGUGAACGCUGGCGGUAGGCCUAACACAUGCAAGUCGAACGGCAGCACAGUAAGAGCUUGCUCUUACGGGUGGCGAGUGGCGGACGGGUGAGGAAUACAUCGGAAUCUACUUUUUCGUGGGGGAUAACGUAGGGAAACUUACGCUAAUACCGCAUACGACCUACGGGUGAAAGCAGGGGAUCUUCGGACCUUGCGCGAUUGAAUGAGCCGAUGUCGGAUUAGCUAGUUGGCGGGGUAAAGGCCCACCAAGGCGACGAUCCGUAGCUGGUCUGAGAGGAUGAUCAGCCACACUGGAACUGAGACACGGUCCAGACUCCUAAGGGAGGCAGCAGUGGGGAAUAUUGGACAAUGGGCGCAAGCCUGAUCCAGCCAGACCGCGUGGGUGAAGAAGGCCUUCGGGUUGUAAAGCCCUUUUGUUGGGAAAGAAAAGCAGCAGGUUAAUACCCCGCUGUUCUGACGGUACCCAAAGAAUAAGCACCGGCUAACUUCGUG
rnacentral:rRNA from 1 species